GACGAACGCUGGCGGCGUGCUUAACACAUGCAAGUCGAACGGAAAGGCCCUGCUUUUGUGGGGUGCUCGAGUGGCGAACGGGUGAGUAACACGUGAGUAACCUGCCCUUGACUUUGGGAUAACUUCAGGAAACUGGGGCUAAUACCGGAUAGGAGCUCCUGCUGCAUGGUGGGGGUUGGAAAGUUUCGGCGGUUGGGGAUGGACUCGCGGCUUAUCAGCUUGUUGGUGGGGUAGUGGCUUACCAAGGCUUUGACGGGUAGCCGGCCUGAGAGGGUGACCGGCCACAUUGGGACUGAGAUACGGCCCAGACUCCUACGGGAGGCAGCAGUGGGGAAUAUUGCACAAUGGGCGGAAGCCUGAUGCAGCAACGCCGCGUGCGGGAUGACGGCCUUCGGGUUGUAAACCGCUUUCGCCUGUGACGAAGCGUGAGUGACGGUAAUGGGUAAAGAAGCACCGGCUAACUACGUGCCAGCAGCCGCGGUGAUACGUAGGGUGCGAGCGUUGUCCGGAUUUAUUGGGCGUAAAGGGCUCGUAGGUGGUUGAUCGCGUCGGAAGUGUAAUCUUGGGGCUUAACCCUGAGCGUGCUUUCGAUACGGGUUGACUUGAGGAAGGUAGGGGAGAAUGGAAUUCCUGGUGGAGCGGUGGAAUGCGCAGAUAUCAGGAGGAACACCAGUGGCGAAGGCGGUUCUCUGGGCCUUUCCUGACGCUGAGGAGCGAAAGCGUGGGGAGCGAACAGGCUUAGAUACCCUGGUAGUCCACGCUGUAAACGGUGGGUACUAGGCGUGGGGUCCAUUCCACGGGUUCCGUGCCGUAGCUAACGCUUUAAGUACCCCGCCUGGGGAGUACGGCCGCAAGGCUAAAACUCAAAGGAAUUGACGGGGCCCCGCACAAGCGGCGGAGCAUGCGGAUUAAUUCGAUGCAACGCGUAGAACCUUACCUGGGUUUGACAUGGAUCGGGAGUGCUCAGAGAUGGGUGUGCCUCUUUUGGGGUCGGUUCACAGGUGGUGCAUGGCUGUCGUCAGCUCGUGUCGUGAGAUGUUGGGUUAAGUCCCGCAACGAGCGCAACCCUUGUUCACUGUUGCCAGCACGUUAUGGUGGGGACUCAGUGGAGACCGCCGGGGUCAACUCGGAGGAAGGUGGGGAUGACGUCAAGUCAUCAUGCCCCUUAUGUCCAGGGCUUCACGCAUGCUACAAUGGCUGGUACAGAGAGUGGCGAGCCUGUGAGGGUGAGCGAAUCUCGGAAAGCCGGUCUCAGUUCGGAUUGGGGUCUGCAACUCGACCUCAUGAAGUCGGAGUCGCUAGUAAUCGCAGAUCAGCAACGCUGCGGUGAAUACGUUCCCGGG
rnacentral:rRNA from 1 species